rnacentral:lncRNA from 1 species
UAAAAUAUACAUACACAUAAUUUAUCAGGGAAAAAAGAAUUUACUUCUUUUGAGUUUUAGCAACCUUCAAAAUCUUCCUUGAAAAUGUCAUUAUUUAUUAUUAUUUUUUUUUCUAAUAUCGUACAUGUACUCUUAGAUUUACACAAUUUUUAUCAAGGAUGAGUGUAACAACCAACCUAAAAUAAGAACAAUGCUAUUAAUGGAAACAAAUCAUUGCAUUAGUGAACUUGGACGGUUGGGUACAACAAAAACAACCAGAGACAUAAGUUUAUAAAUUCUCUUAGCUGCAAAAAAAAGCAACCUUAAACUUAUUUACAUCGUCGGACAAACCGUAUUAACCGGCUCAUCACUAUCCGUCCAUCCCGCUCCAAGAAAUUUAGCUUUUAAAAAAUAUAUCUGCUGUACCGUACAUCCGCCUUGGCCGUACAGCAGAAUGAAUAUUAAAAUUAAAACAAAUUUUUGGGCUAAUAGAAUCUAUCCAGUCUUUUUAAUGUCCUAAACAAAAAUUUAUGACUUUAAUUAGUUAAUUAGGCCUAAAAGUUUAAUAAUAUAAAUAUUUGAUAUUUGUUCUUUUUACCAAUUUUUAUAAUUUUAUAAUUCAAAUUUUAUUAUUUAUUUACUAGUAAUUUUAAAAAAUUAAAAUUAAAAUUAAAAUGGGGAAAUGGGUAGGGGAUGGGGAUUCCACCUCAUCCCCAUCCCCUCCCCGAAUAAGAAAUUGGGUAAAAAAAUUUUCUCGUGCCUUCCCCGAAUAAAAAAUUAGGUAUAAAAUUAUCCUCAUACCCUCCCCGAAUGGGGAAAAUCCCCCCCGACCCCAUGGAGAUUUUGCCAUCCCUAAAUAUAGGUGAUGAAAGAGAGGAUUUGGGGCGAAUUUUUAUUCGUUAAUAUCAAAUAUUUGCCAAUUGGAUUUUUUUCAGAAUCCGACUCUUCAAUUCCACUCCCCGGGAAAAUUGAGAGAUCUUGGAGAAUUGGACUAAGAAGUUUUCACUUGUUAGUUCAUAAAUUUGAAGAGAGUCUGUUCAGUCGAAUAUCAAUUAAGGAAGAAGAUGAUGUAUUGAACAAAUAGGCCAAGAUUCUUUUCUGAAAAAAUAUGAUAAUGGUGCUUUGUUUCAUACCGUCGGAUUCAUAUUUUGGCAAAAAAAUAAAUUGUUUCAAAGCUUUCGGCAAACUAAUGAAAAUAAAAUCACAGCGUACUUGGUAAUGAUGAUCCUUGAAUUUUUACCAAAUUUUGACAUUGAUGGACUUGAAAUUUUUACUUAUAUGUGGUUUUGUAACUAUAGGAAACUAAGAAUUUUUAUAUCUUAGUAACAAAAUUCGGAGUUGGUGUUAAUUUUUUGGUCCAAUAGCUUCUAUCAUUUUCCAAGUAUUCAUAGGGGAAAUACAAUGGAAUAGGAGGAAUGCAUUCUGAAAUUACAAAUUAUAAAUUGGGACUUUAUAAAUAACAAUGAUUAUAGUUAAAACAAUGUUAUACUAUUUAAAAUAGUGAUUACAGUAAUGAGAUAAGAAAGAAAAUAUGUUAUAAAAAUAGAAUGUAAAUCAAGGCCUCGUGUAGGGUGGGCAAAAAAGUUAGGGUCGGCCCAACUUAGGGUCAUGGGCUUUAGGCCCAGCUUGUUUCAUGAUGCCAUGGACAUGGGUAAAAAAAUUUAAAGCUAGUUGUGAAUGGGCUUAGUUAAUGGUUGUAUUUGAUUAUUUAUCGAUUAUGUAUUGGAUAAUCAUUACUAAUUUAAAUAUUUUAUUUUUAACUUUUUGCUUUAUUAAAAAUUUAUUUAAAAAAUUAAUGGAAGCACAAGUCCAGUGCAGGCUCAGAUUGUCCAAGUUUGGAUAGACUUUUAGAGGGUGUGGACCUAUUACUAAUAACAUGGACUUAGACAUGAGCUUGAAAAAACUCAGCAUAAACUCGUAAUUUGUCAUCCUUACCUGCAUAAUAUUAUAGCUUCAUUAAAACAAAUUUGCCUACUGCUCUCAAGUGCUUUAGGAUUUGAAUAGCGCCUAUUUUCCAAGAGACAAUGGUAAUGAAUAAUUCAGGUGCACCAAGAGGUUAUUGUACAAAAAACUUCCAGUGUGUCUAAACUUUAUGAAAAUUGGAUCUCCGACAAAGGAGGCAUUGAAGUUUUUCUCUUCUUAUUCUUCUAUCCUUAUUUGUCUUAUAUUGUUCCUAGCCACUUUUUUGAAAUGAUGAAGAAUGUCAAUUCAUAGAAUUGUAUGAGAGGCAUUUUUAUCCACAAAUUUGACUGCUAAAAUUUUGUAACUGAUGUAUUUAAUUUCUUAUUAUUAAGUACCGUAGCUAAUUAAAAGUAUAACUGUUGCUCGUUAAACCUUUUAUUUAACUCUUAAAUUAAAUUCAAAAUGUAACUGCGGCUUCAUUAACCACGUCUUAAAUUCGGGAUUUAAUCUCAUAUUAAAAUAUAAAUUUAAUUGGGUAUUAUAAAUUCUGAAUUACUUGGCAGUUAAAAGUGAUAUAUUCUGGAAUUGAUUUCGUAAUUAAUUUUAAAUUUAACUAGCUGUUAUUCACCCAAGCAUCAUUUUAAAUAUAAAAGUACACCUUAUUAUCUUUCACUUAUACAAAGUACAUCCACUCAAAAUUAUGCUUUAAAAUAGUAAAUUAUUAUGAUACUUUUCCAACCAUAUUUGUAUGUCAAAGCAUUUUAUCAUUUUACAUUCAAACCCCCAUAUAGAGAGCUACGAAAAUUAGCUUACUGACACGUUGUCCAGCUAAAGUAAAAUAAAAAAAUUAUAAGUACAAUAUAAGGUUGAUGGUGUGUAAUUUAUGUAAUAUUUAAUAAAAAACACAAUAAACUAGUUAGUGUUGGAUAAACGAAUAAACAAGUCAUAUUCGAAUCGAAUUGUAAACAAAUUGGCUCAAAAUUUUACUGAUUUGGAUUUGAUUCGGUUAUUAAACGAAUAUUCGAUUCGAUUCGUUUAAUUUAUUUAGUAGAAUUAAUAAACGAAUCAAAUCGAAUUUGGAUUCCUUUACAAUUCGUUUAUCCUAUAAGGAAUAAAUUGAAUAUGAAUUUAUUUACAAAAAUAUAAUAGAUAAACAAAAUAAAAUAUAAAAAGAGCAUAAAUUUAACAUCUAAACAAAAUAAAAUAUAAAAAGAGAAAAGAGCAUAAAUUUAACAUCCUACAAAAUACAAACUUAUUAUCAUUUAUAAUUAUUAUAUUAGCUUUCAAACUUUAAGGUUUUUUCAUACUAAGUAUAAAUAAAUAAUUUAAUUAAAUGAAUUUAAAUGAAUGAAUUAUAUUCGAUUCGUUUAUAACUCACUUACUAAAUGAAUCCUUAAAUCAAUGAAUCAAUAUCCUAAUUAGAUCCAUUUAAUUAGCAAAUCAAAUCAAAUUCACCUAUUUAUUAAACGAAACAAUUUUUUCAAAUCCAAACCCAUUUAAUUUGCAUCGAAUCGAAUCAAAUAAACGAAUCCUAGCCCAAAUUGCCACUUCUAAAACUAGUUGUAUAAUAUUCUUACUGGCACCAAAAUCAGAUUAUUUUUUACUUCGUCAGAGGAGACAGUCCCUUAAUUGGGCCGGAUAUGUUGAUGGUUGCACAUUUGCAUCUCUUCCCAUCAAUUUUGUAUUGUUGCCAUGGAUUGAAAUUUCUUGCUUCGUUUGGGCAUCCACGCAUGUAAUUACUACUUUUAAAAGAUCCUUAUAGCCAUUUUUUAUUUAGCAACGUAAGGAACCCUGAAUCUGCGACAUCAAGUUAAUAUGUUAUUAAUGUAUGUUAAAGUAAGUUUAACUUCAUGUGACUUCUACAGAAAAUCGUCACAUUUGUUCGGGUUAACAUUAUAAACUUCUAUUGCUUUCGGGUAACUUAUUGGCAAAUUGGCUUGCAAAGCGUUUUCAGCUGCACGAUGGGUAACGUUAAAAAGAAAGGCAAAGAAAAAGUGUUAAUUAAGCAUAGCUAUCGACUUCACGUUUGUUAAUAUCAAGUUUUAACAACGGAUGUGUUCGAUCAACUUACAGAACAACUAUUGAUAAAUUGAAAUUCACAAAAAUUUGAUACAAGUCAAGGAUUAACGAUGCCAAAUAGGUUAUUAUUUGAUUCAUUUCAUUGAAAACUUGACGUCAUGAAGAGCAAAGCACCCCUAUAAUCUUUGGAGAGCGGACAUAACUUUUCCUAUAUCGUGUCAAAAUCCUCAUCUGUCUAUUUAAUUAUGUUCUGAGAAUUCUGUUUAUUUACUUAGAAAACAGAGAGAAUUUAUUGAUUGAGAGAAAUUAGAAACCAAAAAAUAUUCAUUCCACAUACUGUAAUUUGAGAUUACAAUGCUCUGCAUAUGGUUGUGUGUACAAUCUUCUAAAAGCAACAAACUUGUGUGCUCACAUGCACCUAUACAUAACGAACUUUUAGAGGGAAACUAUAGCUUUCAACAAUAUGCAUAAUGACCUUCCAACGUGGAUAUUCAGCAACGAUACUAUGCAGCUCAGCUCUGAUGAAUCGGCACUUAAUUCUUAACACACCCCCGUAAUCUCAAGGUCUUGAACAGACAUUGAGCUUAGUUCUCAUUAAGCAAAGUGGUCAAAACUAAGAGGCCUUGUAAGCACAUCAACUAACUGAUCAAGACUGGACACAUGUUCAAUGACCAAUUCCUUAUUUGCAACAUGUUCCCUAACAAAAUGAAGAUCCAAUUCUAUAUGCUUAGUUAUAGAAUGAUAUUUAGGAUUGUUUGCUAAAGUUUCUGCAGUUUAUUAUCAGAGUGAAGAACAUGAGACUUGUUGAGUGAUACUUGAGUUCCUUUAAAAGACAAGUGAUCCACAAAAUUUUAAAUGUGGCUAAUGCUAAAGCUCUAUAUUCAGAUUCAACAAUUGAUUUAGAGAUAAUAUUUUGUUUCUUAGAUGACCAGGACACAAGAUUAGUUCCAAGAUAAACACAAUAUCCUCCAAUAGAUCUUCUGUCAUUUGGAUCAGACCCCCAAUCUACAUUAGAAUAGGCUAUCAAGGUUAGGGAACUUGAGUUGAAGAACUGAAGUCCAAAAUGUGCUAUACUUUGCAAAUAUCUCAGCACUCUUUUACAGGCCUGCCAGUGUAAAGUAGUUGGAGCAGUAAAAAACUGGCUUAACUUAUUGAUUGUAAAUGCAAUAUCUAAACUGGUCGGUGUUAAGGAUUGUAGAGAACCAACAAUGCUUCUAUAAAGUGAAUGAUUUUCAAACAUACAAUUUAUCAACAACACUUGUAGGCGUGUUACAACCUUUACUGUCAAACAUGUAAGCUUUCCUUAAGAUAUCUCCAACAAACUUAGUUUGAGAUAGAUGUAGGCCAUCAAUAGACGGAGUUACUUCUAAUCUAAGAAAAUAUUUGAAAUCCCCCAUGUCUUUGAGAGCAAAUUCUAAUCCAAGCUGAUUAAUAACCUCUGUUAUAUGAGCAUUGCUUAAACCUAUUAUCAGAAUAUCAUCCACAUAGACAAGAAUAAUUAUAAUAUCACCUCUAAUAUGCUUGAAAAAUAAGGAAGUAUCUAACUUGGAAGACCUGAAUCCUCAUUGAAUUAGAUCCUUUUAAUCUAUCAUACCAAGCCAUGGGGGCUUGUUUAAGGCCAUAAGGGUUUUAUUCAACUUGCAAACAUGAUUGGGAAAUUGAGGAUUAAUAAAGCCUUCUACCUAAAGCAUGAACACAUCUUCAGUAAGUAGGCCAUUUAAAAAAGCAUUAUCGACAUCUAAUUACCGUAUAGGCCAAUGAUUCAUGAUUGCCAAGUUGAGAACAAAUGGAACAGUGCAGGGUUACAACAGGACUAAAUGUCUCAAAGAAAUCUACUUUAUAAUUUUGAUGAAACCCUUUUACAACUAGUCGAGCUUUAUACUUUGAAAUGCCAUCAUCUGGGUUGUAUUUAACUUGAAAAACCCACUUAUUUCCAACAAGUUUGGUGGCUAUCUCAGCUGGAACCAAUGUCCAAGUAUCAUUUCUCUGCAAAGCAUUAUAGUUAUCUUGCAUAGCCACAUGCCACUUUUAAAUAUAUACAAGCUUGAGAUGUGCUAGAGUUUGUUAAAAAAAUUUAGAAUCGGGCCAAGCUAGCACUCUUGGCCUAUGUUUGGGCUCUUAGCCCGAAUUCUUGGGCACUUGGGCUGAAAAUUUGGGUGGUCCACAACAUUAAGCUCAAAAUAUACUAAUACAAAACAUGGACUCCAGUAACAGGCUUGAGGAGAUGCUCAUCAAGAUAUUGCAAUGAUAGGUCUAUCACUAUAUCAUCAAGAAGCAUAAAAAAAAGAAAUUUCUAGGAUAGUCAUAUGAAUCACCAUUCUUAACUAUCUAAAUGACAAAUUAGACGGGUUUUGACCUUUUUAAAGUGUUUUAUGAAACUUAGAUUUCCCGUAUAUUAAACAAUACUAAGAUUUACAAACAAACUUGAAUCGCCAAAGAGAUUUUACAAAGAAUUUCAAUCACCAAAUCUUCAUUAUAAUGAAAAUCUUUCUUGUUACUUGUCACCAUCAUCUCCUUCUAAUCAAAUUUAAUUAAAAUAAUGGAAUACUAAAAUGAAUCAAGUUGGUUUCUCACGUUCAUUAGCAAAGAUUGAAAUUACUGAGAAUGCAUAAAUUGUGGACUGGGAAAUUCGGAGAACGUUGGCCAUUAGAAAGUAUUAAGAGCUUUUAGUUUAGUGCAAUAGAUAAUUAGCUUUUUUGGGUAAACACUCUUUUAGUAUUUUAGGUUUCGGAAAAUUAUGCAAUUAGCUUAUGAAUUUUUAAAAAUUAUUCAAACCAUCCUUAUUUAUGUCGAAAUUCACUCAACGCACUUUUUUCACUUGAAGUAGGUAAUUAGACUUGUCUGUUCUUGUUGGAAUUUAAAAGUAAAUCAGACACAACUACUUAGGUAGAAUUGCAUUAAGGAUGAAAUUUAUUAUCAAAAUUAAAAUUUAAAAAUCUGUUUGCCACUGCCUUUUUAAAAUUCUUAAAAUAUACGUACCUUGUACACUUGGCUCACAUAAAGAUAUAAAUAAAUUACAAGAUUGAUUAAUUGAAAUCGUGAAAAAGUAAAGGUCCAAAGGGAGAUAUAUUCCACGCGUAUAGCGUGCCGCAUCGUUAUUUCUAACUUAUUGAAAUCUUAAAUUCAAACCGAAUGAUUGAAAUCAUCAUCCAAAAUCAAACAAAUCUCAUGCAUGCACCAACCGAAGCCACUUUCCACGUGUAAAAUGGGCUAGUCAACUCAUACAAUUAUCAACAAUAUAUCCUCUUUCUUUGCAUCAUCUAUUUCUUUGGCAUUUAAUUUCUAUCAUUUUCUUACCGUCCAAACAGGCGCAUGCAUCCAGAUAGGUAUAUAGAUAUCUUCUCCCCACCUAACUUUAUUAGCACAAUCACGUUACAUAAGAAAAUAGUAAGCUUUGUUGGGUAAUUGGUCUUUAUUUAAUUUGAAAAGAGCUAUUUGCAUUUCUUUAUUAAUAAGAGUUUCCAAGCAUUGAAGAUUUGCCUGUAUUUGAGUGAGCAAAAGAUAUACAGCUUAGUCAUCAGAUUACAAAACAGGUUAACAAAUUUAUUGACAAGCAAACAACUAACUAAGAUCUUGUCAUUCGACAAAUUUUUAGUUUUAAGAUCAUUUAGGAAUAUUAGUACAAUAAUUGCAAUCUAAGCCAGAAAGAAAAAGACAUAUUUUGUUGACAUAAUGGCCAAAUAUAAUUUACUCAUAUCUCAAAGCUUUGAAUAAAAAGUUAACCAGAAAAUCCUGAAAUGGUUUGCCUGUGGAUAGAGAUAUUAGAUAUUCUAUAUUUAAUUUUCCUUGACGUAGGGUCAUAUGCACAAUGAAUUAUAGACAAAGAUUGUCGGCAGUCUCCCAUAUAAUAUUAUUUACACAGAUUAUGUACUUAGACGUUAUCAGUUCCUUCAAUUUCAGGUAAUUUCGUAAUCAUAUUCAUAUUAUAUUAUAGGACUCGCCUAUCGUGCAACAGUGGCACCAUGCCACUGCUUUUGUCUUUUUUGUGUAAAAUUUCAUGAAGCCCUUUCAUUUAUUCUUAUUUGAACUUUGCUUCACAAAUAUUAAGUUCAUUUCUCCCAAACCCGUGAAUCCUUCAACGGCCGAUCAACGGCAAAUCGGCUCCUCCGGUGGCUGUGGUUGGUCAGAAAAGACAGAGGGAAUUGUGGAGAACAAAACUCAAGUGGUGGCGUCACCGGAAACUGGAGAAACAGUGGCGAAUUGAAGCGGGGAUUCUGUGACUUUUCACGGCUUCGAUCGGCAGCUUUCCGAAUGCUUUACAGCGACAAGGAUGGCAUGGAGAUGACCGGCGUCAUACGAGCUUCCGAUCGGUACCAACCUUGGCCGAUGGAAUUGCCGGAAACGGAAAUAAAAUCCGGGUUGGGUUCGCGGGUCGGGUUGACCCGGUUAUUUUUGUGACAAGGAUGGUGUGGAGAUGACCGGCGUCGCUCGAUCUUCCGAUCGGUACCAACCUUCGCCGGUGGCGUGGACGGAAAUGGAAACGAAAUUCGGGUCGGGUUCGCCGGUAUUUGUGAUAAAGAGAGGGGUAUUGUGAUAAAAGUGUAAUAUAGAAGAAAAAUGUAUAAAUAACAAAUAGUAUAAGGUGCUAAUUAUAAUGUUUAUAUGGAUGCAAUAGAAAUUAAUUUAAUAUUUAUGAAGUAAAGCUUAAAUAAAAAUGAAUGAAAGGGGUUCAAUGAAAUUUUACAACACUGCUGGCACAAAAGACAAAAUCAGUGGUACAGAUACCACGGUGGUACCGUAGUAGCUGGAUCCUAUAUUAUAUACAGUUCAUGAACACGCGUUAUUCAAUCGUCUCAUUUUAAAUAUAAUUAAACUGCAAAUAAUGAUACCACAGACAUUUUUGGUUUUAGUUACAUACCAGGCUGAAUAAUAAUAAUAAUAUUAAUAAGAGCAGGAGGGGAAAGGAAAAAUUGAAAACGAUUUUUAAGCUCAGUACAAAAUUCAAGGACAGGACCGAGGAAAAAAAAAAGAAUCUUGAUGUACGUAGGACAUGCAUUUUGUGGGGGAAAUAACUAAUUGAGUUACAAUACUCAUAUAAUAUGUUAAGUCUUUAAACUUUCGGUGAUAUAUAGAAACAAAAUCCGUUGUGUUUAAUUGCAAAAUCAAUCCGAUUAUGGUCGAAGUUUGUUGUUUGAUGCCUCAAAUGUAUUUGAUUCUUUUAACUAUUUCCAAGAAAUUUUUGAAGUUUUAGAACAUAUAAUUUUUAUGUUUUUUUCUUUUCGCUUUUAUUUCAAUUAGGAGUAUUCAUUUUGGAAAUGUGAAGGUAAUUCAGAUUUGUUCAUACAAGUGAAUUCAGAAUAUUUACGAGUCUCCACGUACAAGAGCAUGAAAAAUGCUAUAGUUUUAUUAGCUACAGAUAAGUCGUGAGAUAUGCUUCAAUCCUCAUCACUCAUUGUCACAUGUAAGUUGAACAUUUUCUUUUAGUUCUUAUCACAUAAAAAAAAUAGUCUAAACUCACUUAUAUAUGAGUCUCACUUUUUAUGGGUUUAAAGUUUAAGAUGUGAAAAAUGAUCAAUUACAUUUAAUUAAUUAUCCCAAAGUUCUUUAAAAGUAGUUUCGGGAUAAUUUUUUCUAUUUUUGGCGGAUAUUAGAUAUUGUCCUCAUCACUAAACUAAACACCAUUUUCCAUUUAAAUAGGAAAAAAAAAAGGAAAGAUAGAAUAAGGCCAGAAUAAAAUUCGGUGAGUUGUUGAAGGAUUUAUGGAAAGUGACAGAAAUGGUGUUUUUACUUUUUGCUUUUUUUGAAGAAAAGUUGAAAGCUUAAGCAGCACAAAUUAAUGUUGCUUUUACGAUUUUGUAUUUGUUGCGUCACAUUUUCUUUCCUCAAAUAUUAUAUUAAGUGGACUCAAGUAUAGCGGUCCGCCUACUGUGCAUAUCAGAAUAAAUUAAACAUAUCAGAAUAAAAUUCGGUGGGUUGUUGAAGGAUUUAUGGAAAGUGACAGAAAUGGUGUUUUUACUUUUUACUUUUUACUUUUUUUGAAGAAAAGUUGAAAGCUUAAGCACCACAAAUUAAUGUUGCUUUUACGAUUUUGUACUUGUUGCAUUACAUUUUCUCUUCAAAUACUAUAUUAAACAUAUUUCUUUAUAAGUAAUGAUACAACCAUAAAUUUUUAUAUAAAUUGAUAUGACAUUAAUUUAUUAAUUGAAUAAAAAUAUAAAUAAAUUAUGUAGACUAAUAAAUAUUUAAUUCAACUAAUUUUAUCAUACCAUAUCAAUUUGUACAAAAAUUUAUAGUUAUAUCAUUACUCUUUUUUUAUUGAAAAAUUCUUUAAAUUGUGCGUUCAAAUCAGUUCAAUUAGUAAUUCUCUUAACUUAAAAUAAAA